rnacentral:rRNA from 1 species
GGGGGAUAUUGCACAAUGGGCGAAAGCCUGAUGCAGCGACGCCGCGUGGAGGAUGAAGGCUUUCGAGUUGUAAACUCCUGUUAAGUGGGAAGAAAUACUUUGGGUUAAUACCCCAGGGGGAUGACGGUACCACUAGAGAAAGCACCGGCAAACUUCGUGCCAGCAGCCGCGGUAAUACGAAGGGUGCAAGCGUUAUUCGGAGUUACUGGGCGUAAAGAGCGUGUAGGCGGUUUGCUAAGUCAGUUGUUAAAUUCCACGGCUUAACUGUGGACGUGCAACUGAUACUGGCGAGCUAGAGUAUAGAAGAGAGAAGUGGAAUUCCCGGAGUAGCGGUAAAAUGCGUAGAUCUCGGGAGGAACACCGGUUGCGAAGGCGGCUUCUUGGUCUAUUACUGACGCUGAAGUGCGAAAGCGUGGGGAGCAAAC